rnacentral:rRNA from 1 species
GAUUGCCUUAGUAACUGCGAGUGAAGCGGCAAGAGCUCAAAUUUGAAAUCUGGCACCUUCGGUGUCCGAGUUGUAAUUUGUAGAAGCAUCUUUUGGAUUGGUCCUUGCAUAUGUUCCUUGGAACAGGACAUCAUAGAGGGUGAGAAUCCCGUUCAUGGUGGGGAAUCCAAUUCUUUGUAAAGUGCUUUCGAAGAGUCGAGUUGUUUGGGAAUGCAGCUCUAAGUGGGUGGUAAAUUCCAUCUAAAGCUAAAUAUUGGCGAGAGACCGAUAGCGAACAAGUACAGUGAUGGAAAGAUGAAAAGAACUCCGAAAGGAGAGUGAAAAAGGACGUGAAAUUGUUGAAAGGGAAGUGCUUGAGAUCAGUCUUAAGGUUUAGUGAUCAGUCUUCCUUUUGGUUGGUGCACUCACUAUUUCUUAGGCCAACAUCAGUUUUCGCGGCAGGAUAAUGACAUUGGAAUGUGGCUCUUUCGGGAGUGUUAUAGCCUUUGUUGAUACUGCCUGCUUAGACUGAGGACCGCGCUUUUGCUAGGAUGUUGGCAUAAUGAUCUUAAGCAGC